AGAGCUAUCAGCUUCCCAGUUUACAAAAUUAAUCAAGAAAUAAUGCGGGGCCACUGGCACAAAUGAGGCAUCUCCUGGAAGCUUAACUUCCUAUCCAUCCCAUCUCUUGGACAGAUGAUGCCAGUUAAUUAUUUUGAAUAAAAAUGGGCAAAAGCUUAUCAUUAUCAACAAAUAAGAAGAAGGAAACCCUAUGCCAGGUAGCACCAAAGCUUUGGUCCAGUGCCCUCUGUUGAAACAUCCUAGGCUUUUUAUUUCCACUCCUAUUACAACUGACCUGAUUUGGCCCCUUCACAUUUUACUCAUAGAUUUUGCUAAACCUUUCUAUUUUGUCUCCCUGAAUUAAGCUUUUCCUUUUGGACACAUUACAUAUGGAUUCUAAAAUAAUCCUUUGUAUGUCUACACUUGAACAUAAAGCAAAAAACAAAAUAAAAAAAAUAAUCCUCCUGUUUUAAUCA